rnacentral:rRNA from 1 species
UGACCUGCGGAGGAUCAUUAUUGAAAACAACGGGUAAAGGUUGUAGCUGGCCUCUCGGGGCAUGUGCACACCUGAGCCAUUUUCAUCCAUACACACCUGUGCACUCACUGUGCGGGCCCGUAACAAAGGCCCGCACGUCUUAUCACCUACUUUGCAUGUCUGAUUAGAAUGUAACCUUUGACGUCACUGCCUUAAAAAAGUGGUUGACGAAAAAUACUUAAUACAACUUUCAACAACGGAUCUCUUGGCUCUCGCAUCGAUGAAGAACGCAGCGAAAUGCGAUAAGUAAUGUGAAUUGCAGAUUUUCAGUGAAUCAUCGAAUCUUUGAACGCACCUUGCGCUCCUUGGUAUUCCGAGGAGCAUGCCUGUUUGAGUGUCAUUAAAUUAUCAACCGCGGAAGGCUUUUUCUGGUCUUUCGGGGCUUGGAGUUGGAGGCUUUGCCGGCGUGAGUCGGCUCCUCUUAAAUGUAUCAGCGAAAUACAAACCUUUUGUUGGCUUUGGUGUGAUAAUCACGUUGCGCCGUCGCUUGAAGGUGUUAAAGAGUUUCGCUUAUAAUGGUCUUCGGACAAAUAAAACCAUUGAAUUUGACCUCAAAUCAGGUAGGACUACCCGCUGAACUUAAGCAUAUCAAUAAGCGGAGGAAAAGAAACUAACAAGGAUUCCCCUAGUAACUGCGAGUGAAGCGGGAAAAGCUCAAAUUUAAAAUCUGGCGGUCUUGCGGCCGUCCGAGUUGUAAUCUGGAGAAG